rnacentral:tRNA from 1 species
GUAUUGGUAGUUCAGUGAUAGAAUUCUUGCCUUUCAUGUGGGAGACCUGGGUUUGAUUCCUGGCCAACGUA